UUCGAGAGACACUACCCACCGUUCCCGCAGAUAGAGAAGUUAACCAAUUGGGUGGGCGUGAGGGUAACAAACUAUAUCUUCCUCGAUUAUACCAACAAUGCAGAGAUAAUCCAGUCGACGAAUUUGUGAUUAUAAGAAUACGGCUGCUGGAGCAACCCAAGUCGAGAAAAAUGAACAAGAGUUUAUGCACUACAGGUGAACUACAGGUGAAGACACUCAAUCCAGUCCCGUGGGCCACCCGGAUUCAUAUCGCACUGCGGGGGGGACUCUGGAGAGAUCAAUGACACUACAGAUGGUGCGUUAUGGGCCGAUUCCAGGUUCUGACCCAUGGAGGACUGAAGGCAUGUCUACAGAGGAAGUGGACGAAUCUGGAUCUGUCAUUUGUGGGGAAUUUAUGUUUGAUGAGAAUAGUGUUGAGAUGAAGGGGAAUUAGAUUGUAAUUUG